UAGAUCGUUUUGUUAUUUGGGCUGUUUGAUUGUGAGGCAUCGACUCAUGUCUGUUUCUCUCUCUACUAAGAAGAAAGAGAAGGAAGAGGCUAUGAAGAAAGAAGUGAGAAAGUCAAGAAAGAAGAAGCGAGGAAAUAACAAGAACCAGAAGAAGAACAAGGUGUCUCCUCUUGGCAAUGAUAGUACUGUGGCUGCAGAUGAGCCUAAGAAAAAACAGGCUCUCCUCCCGCGGAUCACAGCCGCCCUGGCAAAACUAUUUUGCUUCCCCUGCAAAAAAAAAAAAUGCAAAAGUAACUGUUCAGAAGACGAGUUUGGGAAAACCCUGCUGCCACCUCCCCCAA